GACGCCGUGGCCGAGCGGUUCAGGCGGCGGUCUGCAGAACCGUCACACGUGGGUUCGAAUCCCACCGGCGUCUCC
rnacentral:tRNA from 1 species